AUAACCGCACUCGUAGGAGCUUAGAGCUUACACGCUUGAGUAAAUGGGAAAAACCUUUCUUUCUUUGCAGUGUUGGGGGCGCUGCAGGAGAGCUCGCGUUCACGUCUCACGGCAGCUCCUGCUUAGGGACGGAGCAGCUGCUGCCGGGAGCUCAGCUGCAAAAGGCGUGUUUGUGUUCAUAGUGCUACUAGUGUUUCCUUUACAACUCUGCCAAAUGCAACUAGUUUAGAGAACGUCGGUCCCAAUGAGAAGAAAUGAGUUGGGUUUGCUAGAAACCCUUCCUGUGUUACCUCAAGUCCCAUCUCAGGUGGAGUCAGCCCCGACCUUUGCUGCUGGGAUGCGGAGGGAAGGUUUCUGAAUAGCUGUGAAGUUUAUAGUGCCAAACACAGGUCUGGCCAAGGCUCAGAAACUGGCUGCACAUCUGGCAGCUCUCUUACAGCCAUGGUCUUAAAUUUCUGUGCUGUUUCUGGCUCUAUUUCUUGUGUCCGGUAGGAGAGGAAAGUUUGGAAAGGAAAAUAAUAGAUGUAUCUCUGUGCAUGCCUGGCACUGAGACCUGCAAGAGAAAUUGAGUGGCUCUGUGAAGCUCUGCAAGACCUCACUCCACCCACUGAUCCAUCUCCCUUGGAUCCUUCUCCCUUCCAAAUCCCAUCAAGCUCUUUCUGGGAGGGGCCCCCACAUCUCCUGACUGCUGCAGGAGCUUCUUCCUGUAUCCUCAAGGCUGUUCCCCUCUGUUACCUGAGGUCAGAAGCUGGCUGCCAUUUGGAGUGUAGAAAUGGCCACUUUGGCCACUCUAAUCAUGCCACCAAUUGUCUGACAGGGACUGUGAUGCUUUGCUUUACUCUGGUGCUUUGUCUGAAUUUUGUGUGCAGAAGCAGGGGCUGGGCUGUGUGCUGUGCUCUGUUUGCUUUCCUUGAAGCCUUUCUAGAGGAAUUAUUUGUUAAACAAAUUGAAUGUGUUGGGAAUAACACACAAUGGUUCACAAUUCUCUGUCAUGUACCCCUGACGCGAGUGGGGAUUUCUGCUGCACCACCAGCACAGUGCUGGGGCUGAAGACAGCACUCUGGGAGGUGCUGUUGCUGCUGAAGACAUGACCAUAUUCAUUGGCUAGCAGAAUUAAUUUGUUGGGUUUGUUUGCAUGGAUUUUACCACAGUAAAGUCCCACUUAUUUUCCAUUUCGGUGGCAUGAAAAGUGUAUUGAUUUUUCUUCACUUCUGAUUGUUCACAUUACUGGAUUGCUUUUAAAUAGUUGACAGAGAUCAUUCAUUUUCUAGCUCUAACAUAUUUUACAGCCUGUUCCCUGUUUUAUUUGUGUGUGCUUUGGGGGAGUUCCACAGUUAUGCGUCAUACUGAUCACGUUCUGCAAACGGCAGCCCUGGCAGGAGGGAGGAAGCUCUUCCCCCGUGGGGUUUUUGCUCCUCCUGCCUUCUCCCUAGCAGCUUCAGCACCUGUGUUUCACCUCCCCGACUUAGAAAGUGGAGCUGAGGCUCAAAAACCCUCUAAGCCAAAGAAAUAACAAGGCCACAGAAAAAUCAGUCUUGUGAGAGGGGCUGGUUAGUGGGAGGACAUUGAGAGCUGUCCUGGUGUUUGUGGGGCUCAGCAGGGGAGGGGCAGCGUCCUUCAACCCACACACAAAGACACGAGGGAACCUCGGGGCCUUUUCAGUGCAGGACCCACGGGGCUUUGGAAUGCUGCCCCAGCCCAGCACACCUCUCUGCCCUUCCCCUGGGCUGUGUCACCUCUCCAGGCUGAGCCCUUUGGGAGCAAGAACUGCCUGUCCCUAUUUGCUAGCACAGUGCCUAAAGCAAUGGGGUCCUGAUUUCACUGAGGCCUCAAGCAACAGGGAGACAGUGCUAAUAAGGAGAAUUAAUUAUUCAUUUAUCACUUCACUCUCAGUGAAUAAUCUCCAAUAAUCAUGUAUAAUUUGCUGCUUUAGUGAAUACUUUGAUAUUAAACAGAGCUGGUAGAAUAAACUCACAGAAGUGAAAACCCCAUGUAAAAGAAGUGAGAAAAUGGUCAAGACUAAAAAAACAUCUAAGAGAUAUUUGUGCAUAAUCAUUUGCCCAGAUCUAGUAGUGUCCUGGAUAAACAUAUGGAAGACAGAUAGAGACAUAGAUGGCUCAAUCUCUUCCCCAGCUCUUAGAGAGUCAGAGAUCACACUAUGAUCCCAAACAGAAGCCUACAUUCUGUGACCAGAGGAUGGUCCAGGAGAUAAUUUUGCUUUCUCUAACCUCCUUCUGGGGUGAAGGAAGUGCAGUAAGGGAAAGCUACUUGGCACUGAAGUGGGGAAUUAAGUAUUCUUAAGGCCUAAAUGAUUGGGGCAUCCAAAGUGCAGGUCUGCCCUGGGAAGUCAGGGAAAGCUGCCUCCAGUGCUGCUCAGGGUGAGUUUGCACGGUUUGUGAUAGCUCAAUGACUUCGAUUUUCCCAUUUGCCUUUUCCCUUCCCAUGGCUACUGAGUGCUUGGCCCAUAGGGCUGUGCUCAUCCACACCAGGGGCAUUUAUUGCAAAGCUGUUUGUGACAAAGGCAGAUUCCAGCAGCCAGGAGCUGUUCGGGCUGUGGUGUUGUUUUGGGAAACUGCUGAAACAUUGUCUGUUCCCGCAUGGAAAUCUCUUUCAGAAGCAGAUUGCAGUGUUGUGUUUCAGACUGUGGUGCCUGCUCACAUUAUCCCUCACUGACGCACAGUGAUGAUGCAUAUGUUGGAUCUCACAAUGCUGAGAGAAUUUACGCUUUGGAAGUGUUUACCUCCCUCAUUAUUGAUGUUCUGUCAGUAGCAGUGUGCUCAUAUUCUCUGCAGAGAAACUAAAGGCACUGAUAAAAAUCACUGAGCUUCUCAUCUAAAUCUCCAGGUGAGCUCUGGAUUGAGUAGUGCCACGACGGUCAAGAGACUGAGAAUGGACCUUGCUGUCGAAGGGUCAGCCCUCAGUGAGCCUCCUCCUACAGCUGCAGCUCCAGCACCUGUUCUUAGCACCAAGAGGAAGAAGACCCGGGGCCAAAUUCUUCCGUGAGACACUUUUAUUCAAACCCAUGUCAGAAAUUUGGUGAAAGAAAUAUUUCAGGCAAUUCUUUCGCCUUUGUUGCUUUAAUGUUCAGCAAUAUCUGUUCUUCCUGUAAGAUCCCUGGUGACACUGCAGGGGAUGGUGGGAUGGUGUUUAAAUAUUGAUGUUUUAGCAGCUUAUGGUUUUAAUACAAUUUAAAUUAUGCACAUUUUUAUUGGACUCAUAGGUUCAUCAGCAAUUAGUCUCUCCCAGCUGCAAAGGAGGGUGUUCAGCAGCUCUGUAUUGAUUUCUGCCUCAACCUCUGAAUUUUAGUGACUGGCUACAUCUUAGUGCCUUGGCAAGGUAAACAAAUCCACAGGCCCUUAUUCGAGAACUGCUGGUUAGCAGCCAUAAAUGUGUAAUCAACAACUCGGUAUCCUUGGAAUUAGAUCUUCUUAACAAUCAUUAGUUUCAUCCCUUGCUGCUCUAAUAAACCUCUUGGUAGCAGGGCAGAGCCAAUUAUACAUGUGCUUGGAAAAUUAGAAAAGAAGGAGAAAAAGUCUGUGUUGCCACAAAUAAGUGAAAAUUUUAACUGGCCCAAACCUGUGGCACGUGUGGGACUCAUCUGUUGUUUAUCAGAGGCUGAGCUUUGAGUAUUGGAGACAACGUUAGGGGAAAUCUGUAUUUAUUUUGCAUGUUAUGGUUUUUCCACCUGAUGCCAAGCUGGCAUCAGUGCACAAGUCCUGCAGCCCCUUUCACAUUUCUUCUGUGGGCUCUGCAGACCAGAGCCAGGGCUGUGAGAGCUGCAGCAAACUGACAUUGAUUCAAAGAUGUUUUGUGGCAGGAUCCCUACCCAGUGCUGCCUGCAAUGCUCAGGAGGAGGAUGGCUGUCAUGAUACAGUGACCAAAUUACUUAUUUAUCUUCUGAGUGUGACAGGGAACUGCUCAGCCUGGGGGUCCAGAUGCUGGUGUUUAAUUUCCCCCUCCCUUCUGCAGCCCUGGGCAGCUCAUGAAACAUCCCUGGGACCAGCUCUUUGCUCCCACAGAUCCCUGUCUUUUGGGAUAAGCCUUGGAGGAGAGCUUGGAGCCCCGGAGUGCUCACUCUGUUCCUGCUUUGUUCCCAGUGCAGUGGGAUAGAACAGAUAAACACCCCUGAAUCACUAAGUUUUUGUUUACAUCUGUUUUCUCUUCAUUCAGUGGGACUUUUGCAAGGUGCAGUGAGAAGAGAACAUGCACCUGCACCAAGUACAGUGAUUGUGGGGGCUCUUGCUAAAGAAAAUCAUUAAUAGCAAAUCCACCCUUCCUUCUCCAGGUGGUUCUUAUGCCAUCCUACACAAGACGUUUUUUUGAGAGAGGUGAUAAGCUUCUAGGAUGUGCCAUCAGCUUUACAGUCAAGCUGCUGGCAUUAGGAGAGAAUGGGAAUGCAAACCAUAAAAAUAACAGAUGGGAGACAGAUGUGAUAAAAUGGAAGCACAGGCAAAUUAUAAAACCAUUCAAACUGCUCAUGCAGAUAAAAUCGGGAAACAAAAUCACAUCUGAAAUCACAAGGACUGGGUGUCUGUUUGAGAAAAAAGUGUUUGACUUUGCUGUUUGAUAGUGGUAUUGGUGGUGGAGGUGUUCAAGUUCAAAGUCCUGGAGGAGAAGCAGGGAUUUCUGCUGCAGGGAAGCUUGGGCUGUGGCACCUUCCUUUGUUGCUGAGGAGCAUUUCUGCUGUAGAGGCUUAAAGAUGGCGUUUUUCCUCAACUCACACUGCAAAUGUUAAUGUUCAUAUCGUGCCAGUGCAAUUACUUGACUGCAGUGAUAAAAUAUCAUCCAAAUAAUUGAAGAAACAUGAAGGGAAAAAUAGCCCUCAAAAACCUAAAGGGCAGAUGACCAUGAAAUGAAACCCAAAAUAAUGCUGGGAUCCUCUGGAGCUCUACUGGGUGUGCCACAGGAUCCUGCAGGGGCAGGGCUGAGGCAGCUCAGUGCCAGGCUCAGAGCCUGGGGGAGCAGGGACAAGGAGGGCACCACGAGGCUCGGGGGAGAUGAUUUUACAUGACCCAAGCAAAAGUCCUGUUACAUUGGAGCAUCUAAAAUCACCUAGCCAGUACCCUGUCUCCAGCAGAACUGGACAGAUCUGUGCCUACAAAUCAGGCUCUCAUUUUCUAGUAAUUAGCAGAUUACAGACUGGCUGAGCCACGAGUUGUGCUGGGAACAAGGGGUUUAAUAGCCACAGAUAGGUUUCUCCUCUGAAUUAAUUGAAUCUCUUUUUGAACCCAUUCAUCCUUCUGGCUGUCACACAGCUCACCAUUUAAUUACACAGUGCCUGGGGACUUCAGGGGCGCCCCUUCCCCUUGCAGCAAGCACAAGGAACAGACAUCCAGUCUCACACUCCUCACACCACUCAGACAAAUCUCACGGCGGGCUUCCACAACAUCUGAUGCUUAUUAAAGCCUUGUUUUCUGAGCACAGGACUGGGAGUCCGGCUCCCUCUUCUUAAUGAGUUUUUAAUUUUUUUUUCUUUUAUAUGCCCAAAGAAGAGGGAUAAGGUCUGAGUAUGUUCUGAAAACCUCUGUUUAGAAGGUAAACAAAGACCCUCUUUGUUCUCAAAGACCACUUUAUUAUUCUAAAUUUAUUAGCUCUUCCUGAUACAGCAUUUGGAAUGUGCUCUGAAACACCUGGACCACGGCAGUGAAGUGGGUGCUAUAGCCAGGCAGUGUGUCUCAUUCUGCACUGGAUGUGAUUAGAAAUGCAGCUUCAAACACAAAUGGGGGAAAAUAUGAUAACAGGGAGGGGGAAGGAAGGAGGAAGGCUAGAGGACUGAACCUUUCAAAAUGCUCAUGACCUCUUAUUGACUUUAUGCAAUGAUAUUUUUAUUUAUAACAGCAUCAGGUCAGAAUUAGGCUUUUUCUAUCAGUAUUUAUGAUGUUGCUGGCAAUUUGAUGAGUCUUUGUCCUGCAGAGCAAAUGAGUGAUUAAAGUUUACAGUGAACUUAUGUCCAAGGAGUUCUGCUUUACCCUCUGGGUAAAGAGAAGCCAUUGGCCUCUUUGCAGCACCAGGGCAUUGAAUUUGUUUGUUGGUUGGUAUGGGGCUUUUUUUGGCUGGGAUUACAAGGCUAAUACUUAGCUUUUCAUCCAAAAUCCAGAGUUUUCUGUGGUUCUUAAAACAUUUCUGUAUAUUUUACAUUUAAAUAUAAAUGAGAUCUCCUUGAAACAGAUUCAUUCUGGUUGGCUUUGCACAUUGAUGAUUAAAGAACGUGGUUCAAUUUUUUUUGUCUCAUUCU